rnacentral:sRNA from 12 species
AUAACAAGUUACCAGUGACAAAUUCCCAGGUUGGGAAAAGCUUUAAAAAGCUAACUGAUUAACUGACC